CACCUCAAAUAUGUGAUCUGGGUCUUUUAGGGGUCGAAUUGUAAAUUAUAGAAGGGGAUUCGAGUGUGGCUGUGGGUUAAAUUCCUUUGAACAGGACGUCAUAGAGGGUGGGAAUCCCCAAUGUGACGCAGCGCCUUGGCCUAUGUGAAGCUCUUUCGACAAGUCGAGUUGUUUGGGAAUGCAGCUCAAAAUGGGUGGUAAAUUUCAUGUAAAGCUAAAUAUUGGCCAGAGACCGAUAGCGCCCAAGUAGAGUGAUCGAAAGAGGAAAAGCACUUUGGAAAGAGAGUUAAACAGUACGUGAAAUUGUGAAAUGAAAUCGUUGCUAUCGAUGAAGAGCGCGGCGGUUCCCCCAGCCUUUUGGCUGGGCUACUCCGUCGUGUCCAGGCCAACAUCGGUUCUGAGGGUCGGUCAAAGGCCCUGGGAAUGUAUCUACCUACGGGUAGACUUAUAGACCAGGGUGUCAUGCGGCCUCUCGGGACCGAGGAACGCGCUUCGGCUCGGAUGUUGGCGUAAUGGUUGUCAGCGACCCGUCUUGAAACACGG
rnacentral:rRNA from 1 species